rnacentral:rRNA from 1 species
GUCUACGGCCACACCACCCUGAACAAGCCCGAAACCGGCUGAUCUCGGAAGCCCAGCAGGGUCAGGCCUGGUUAAUACUUGAAUGGGAGACCACCUAGGAAGACCAGGUGCCGUAGACG